rnacentral:rRNA from 1 species
GACGAACGCUGGCGGCGUGCUUAACACAUGCAAGUCGAACGGAAAGGCCCUGCUUUUGUGGGGUGCUCGAGUGGCGAACGGGUGAGUAACACGUGAGUAACCUGCCCUUGACUUUGGGAUAACUUCAGGAAACUGGGGCUAAUACCGGAUAGGAGCUCCUGCUGCAUGGUGGGGGUUGGAAAGUUUCGGCGGUUGGGGAUGGACUCGCGGCUUAUCAGCUUGUUGGUGGGGUAGUGGCUUACCAAGGCUUUGACGGGUAGCCGGCCUGAGAGGGUGACCGGCCAGAGUGGGACUGAGAUACGGCCCAGACUGCUACGGGAGGCAGCAGCGGGGAGUAGUGCACAAUGGGCGGCAGCCUGAUGCAGCAACGCCGCGUGCGGGAUGACGGCGUUCGGGUUGUAAACCGCUUUCGCCUGUGACGAAGCGUGAGUGACGGUAAUGGGUAAAGAAGCACCGGCUAACUACGU